rnacentral:tRNA from 1 species
AGCUCAGCUGGCUAGAGCAUGGCGCUUUUGGCGCCAGGGUCCUGGGUUCGAAUCCCUGAUCCUCCA